GAUAAACGCUGGCGGCGUGCUUAACACAUACAAGUCGAACGAAGUUUUUCUUUCGGGAGGAACUUAGUGGCGGACGGGUGAGUAACGCGUGGGUAACCUGCCCUGUACAGGGGGACAACAGCUGGAAACGGCUGCUAAUACCGCAUAAGCCCUUAGCACUGCAUGGUGCAUAGGGAAAAGGAGCAAUCCGGUACAGGAUGGACCCGCGUCUGAUUAGCCAGUUGGCAGGGUAACGGCCUACCAAAGCGACGAUCAGUAGCCGAUCUGAGAGGAUGUACGGCCACAUUGGGACUGAGACACGGCCCAGACUCCUACGGGAGGCAGCAGUGGGGAAUAUUGCACAAUGGAGGAAACUCUGAUGCAGCGACGCCGCGUGAGUGAAGAAGUAUUUCGGUAUGUAAAGCUCUAUCAGCAGGAAAGAAAAUGACGGUACCUGACUAAGAAGCACCGGCUAAAUACGUG
rnacentral:rRNA from 1 species